AUACGUAGGGUGCAAGCGUUAAUCGGAAUUACUGGGCGUAAAGCGUGCGCAGGCGGUUUUGUAAGACAGAGGUGAAAUCCCCGGGCUCAACCUGGGAACUGCCUUUGUGACUGCAAGGCUAGAGUACGGCAGAGGGGGAUGGAAUUCCGCGUGUAGCAGUGAAAUGCGUAGAUAUGCGGAGGAACACCGAUGGCGAAGGCAAUCCCCUGGGCCUGUACUGACGCUCAUGCGCGAAAGCGUGGGGAGCAAACAGGAUUAGAUACCCUGGUGGUCCACGCACUAAGCGAUGUCGACGGGGUGUUGGGUCUUCAGUGUCUCAGUACCGAAGCUAACGCGUGAAGUUGACAGCCUGGGGAGUACGGCCGCAAGGUUGAAACUCAAAUGAAUUGACGGUG
rnacentral:rRNA from 1 species